AAUUUCUAUUGGCAUAUGACUUAGAACAGACCUACAACUUCAGUGUAGGUGUUGGAUUGGUAAAGAAUAAGCAAGAGAAAAGUAAAGGAUAUCCUCUGAAGAUGAGUUGUCAGGAUGUAAAAAUAAAUUUGAUAUCACAGCAAUGAAAAAACAUUAGAGGGUUUUAAUUAGAGGCAUAACUCGGCAUAAUUUUGGACUUAAGACUACCUUCCUGACUUGUUUUUGGAGAUGGACAGAGAUUGGACUGUAGGAGAGAAAAAGUGGCGGUGGGUAGAGCACCCAGGGAUCUGGAGAAAAUAACCCAGAAUGAAGGUAAACUGUGGUCCUGGCACUUCCAGUUACUUAGGAAGAGAAUAUGAAAAAGGUUCAUAGGAAGAAUUAGCUGUAAUGUUAGAGAACACUGUGGACAGCAAUGUUAACCAGACUGUUUCUUCAAAAGGGAAAAAAAGUGAUGAAAAA